GAUGAAGAACGCAGCGAAAUGCGAUACUUGGUGUGAAUUGCAGAAUCCCGUGAACCAUCGAGUCUUUGAACGCAAGUUGCGCCCGAAGCCAUUAGGCCGAGGGCACGCCUGCCUGGGCGUCACACGUCGUUGCCCCCCAUCUACUCCUUCGGGAUUGCGGGGGGCGGAUGAUGGCCUCCCGUGCGCCUCGCCGCGCGGUUGGCAUAAAUGCCAAGUCCUCGGCGACGCACGCCACGACAAUCGGUGGUUGCGAAACCUCGGUUGCCCGUCGUGUGCGGUCGUCGCGCAUCGAGGGCUCGAAAAAAUUGCCGGGUUCCGGCUCGGCUUUCAACGCGACCCCAGGUCAGGCGGGGUUACCCGCUGAAUUUAAGCAUAUCAAUAAGCGGAGGA
rnacentral:misc_RNA from 1 species